AACGCGAAGAACCUUACCUGGAUUUGACAUCUUGUGACAACCCUAGAGAUAGGGCUUUGGUAGCAAUACCACACAAAGACAGGUGCUGCAUGGCUGUCGUCAGCUCGUGUGGUGACAUGUUGGGUUAAGUCCCGCAACGAGCGCAACCCUUGUCCUUAGUUGCCAGCAUUCAGUUGGGCUCUCUAAGGAGACUGCCGUGGUUAACACGGAGGAAGGUGGGGAUGACGUCAAGUCCUCAUGGCCUUUAUAUCCAGGGCGACACACGUGAUACAAUGGACGGUACAGAGGGAUGCGAACCCGCGAGGGGGAGCUAAUCUCAAAAAGCCGUUCUCAGUUCGGAUUGGAGUCUGCAACUCGACUCCAUGAAGUUGGAAUCGCUAGUAAUCGCGGAUCAGCACGCCGCGGUGAAUACGUUCCCGGGCCUUGUACACACCGAGACGUA
rnacentral:rRNA from 1 species